rnacentral:rRNA from 1 species
UUUAUGGAGAGUUUGAUCCUGGCUCAGGAUGAACGCUGGCGGCGUGCCUAAUACAUGCAAGUCGAGCGAACAGACAAGGAGCUUGCUCCUUUGACGUUAGCGGCGGACGGGUGAGUAACACGUGGGUAACCUACCUAUAAGACUGGGAUAACUUCGGGAAACCGGAGCUAAUACCGGAUAAUAUUUCGAACCGCAUGGUUCGAUAGUGAAAGAUGGUUUUGCUAUCACUUAUAGAUGGACCCGCGCCGUAUUAGCUAGUUGGUAAGGUAACGGCUUACCAAGGCGACGAUACGUAGCCGACCUGAGAGGGUGAUCGGCCACACUGGAACUGAGACACGGUCCAGACUCCUACGGGAGGCAGCAGUAGGGAAUCUUCCGCAAUGGGCGAAAGCCUGACGGAGCAACGCCGCGUGAGUGAUGAAGGUCUUCGGAUCGUAAAACUCUGUUAUUAGGGAAGAACAUACGUGUAAGUAACUGUGCACGUCUUGACGGUACCUAAUCAGAAAGCCACGGCUAACUACGUGCCAGCAGCCGCGGUAAUACGUAGGUGGCAAGCGUUAUCCGG